CUAAGAGCCUAAAACUCAGAAAUUCAGUGAGAGUCAUCUCCUGCACAGCACGUUGGAAGAUUAUCCACAGAAGAACACCCCCGUAAAGCAGAAGUACAGGAGAGAAGAGGCCUGUGUUUUUCCUCUUGAUUUUAUGGAUGGGAUUGGAAACCCAGCAUGCAAGAGACUCUAGAAUUAAAGGACAAAGUGUCAGCUUAAUUUUAAACUUCCUGGCUUUGAUCCAUUUGCGUUGCAGCGUUAAUCAGGGAGAAAGAAAGGGUCAUAUUAUUUUUGGCCCAUGGGAGGUACGUUCAAGGUGAACA